rnacentral:lncRNA from 1 species
GGAUGCUUUCACCUACACACUCAAUGACUCAAACCAAACCAAACAAGAACACUUCCCACUACUUAUGGCUCAGGAUGGGUUUUGGUUUAGCCUAAACCUAAUCAUGUAGAAACCGAAAUCAAACCCCAACCAACAGUAAGAUAACUUAGACAGAAAACAUCACUAGGGAUGUUAGAUGUUUAUCAAAACCGGUUCCAAGAGAAUGCAACGGGACUUCUAACUUCGUGCUGCGGAUUGCUCCAAGUGAUGGAUCCAAACUCAGCCUUGUUCGUCAUACUCACUCCUUUCUUGCUAACAAACGUGACUGUGUACCUCUUCUUCUCUCCCACGCUUCUAAACGCAAGUUUUGAUGGUUUAACUGAGAUCGCAACACUAG